AAUGGGAGAAACUCAAAUCACACAUCAAGAAAAAAGUUUGUAAGACGCCAAGAUCACCAACUAGAAGGGUUUCUUCCAAAUCUCCCUCUAUUUGGAAAAUAGCCAAAAAAAGUAGGUUUUAACAAUAUUGUCAUUGGCAUGGACUUCUUUUAGACUUUAAAUUAGCGUACUACCAUUAUGUUAGUAAAAUUACCUGAUGUUGAAGUAUAAGACCAUUGUUGUUGAGAUGGGUUGUCAUUUUUGCUCACCCAAAUGAUCAAAGUCUUCGCACAAUCAGACUCUGAUAAGUGAUUGUUUUAUCUUAGAGCUAAAAUGAAAGCAUCCCCAAUUGUAAUUCAAGCAGCCAGUUGGUUAAUUCACAAGCCAAGUAAAAUUACUAUCACUUUUGCCAUCAUAGUAAAAUCUGCUUUGUCAUUUAAUUUGUUCUGUUUCCAAUAGCUUGACUGCUGAUGAAUAUGGUUGUUUCUGUUGCUUUGUAGAGCUUUGAAGAGGCUGGUGAAGUUACAUUAUAACCGAUGUCUACUGCGAGUGUCAAUGACAGCAGUCAAAGUGGGUUAAGGUUUGUGAAUGUUAGAUGCAAAUGUCCUGAACCCAAAAGGGCAUUGGUGCGAAUUUCAGAGUCUAGUUCGCACCCAAAUAUGUUGUACUACUGUUGCCCUGAAGCACCAAGAGGUUGUCGAUACUUCUCAUGGUGUGAACCUAUAGCUGCACCAAGACUUUUGUCAUCCCCUGCAACUAAUUUAGAAGCAGUUGUUGGUGAAAGAAUCCAAAGUCAACAGAUGAAAGAAGAUAUUCGUGGCUUGAAGAAAAGAAUUAAGUAUUUAGAGAAAGCGUAUAGAACGAUGAAAAUUGUAAUUGGUGUGCUUGUGGUGGUGUGUUUAGUGCUAUGUGUUAAAAAAUGACUUUACAAGCAUUAAUAUGAAGUUGUGUCAAGUAUGUAAGAAUCUGAACUAAAUGAAAUCGUUCAUUCUCACUGUUCUUA